rnacentral:rRNA from 1 species
UACGUAGGGUGCAAGCGUUGUCCGGAAUUAUUGGGCGUAAAGCGCACGUAGGCGGAUUCUUAAGUCAGGGGUGAAAUCCUGGAGCUCAACUCCAGAACUGCCUUUGAUACUGAGGGUCUUGAGUUCGGGAGAGGUGAGUGGAACUGCGAGUGUAGAGGUGAAAUUCGUAGAUAUUCGCAAGAACACCAGUGGCGAAGGCGGCUCACUGGCCCGAUACUGACGCUGAGGUGCGAAAGCGUGGGGAGCAAACAGG